AAGUCGUAACAAGGUUUCCGUAGGUGAACCUGCGGAAGGAUCAUUACAACGUAUCCACGUACCAAACUCUCGAACUGUUCCCAACGGAGCAAAGCACACACUUGUGUGAGAAGUUAAUGGCCGACUGUCUUUCGCUGAUGGAGUCCACAGACUUUUGUCUGAGGACUGAAAGGCUAUCGGUUGCUGGAGCUUCGGCUCUGGGACUUUGUUUGCUUCGUUGCGGUUUCUACCGUCAGCACUUGUUUUACCAUUAUUAACCCUUUGAAUUAUUGAACUGAACUUGAAAGCCUCGCAACCGUCCUUGUUGGCUUCGGUCACGGACAGUGUAGCUUGGUUUUUCUCAUUUACGAAACAAAGAACAACUCUUAGUAACGGAUAUCUUGGUUCUC
rnacentral:misc_RNA from 1 species